UCGAAGAGCUUCUUGUUUGUCGUAAAUCCUCCCAUUCGUGUGCUGCUCUAGAUCUCCAUCUUCUUCCGAUCUCAUCUUCUCUCUUCAUCUUGGAGUUGAUUGGAUCUCGAUUUGUGAAAACCUUGAAGUUUGCACUUGAUCGAGGGUUGGAAUUUGUUAAGAGCUCAAAUUCUUGCUCCUUCCUGCCCCUUAAUUUACACAGCCAUAUCCCUCCAGCCGCUCAUACAAAAAGCACAAAUAGAAAGGAGCAAGACUUCUUUCCACCGAAGCCGCCUCAACAUUAAUUGAGAGGAAAACUUCAAAAAUAGAGAAUAAAGGAUAUACAGGUCAAUCAUUUCACUUUUUAUAGGUUUG